rnacentral:rRNA from 1 species
AAUGACUGUACCUGGUAGAGAAACCCCGGCUAACUCCGUGCCAGCAGCCGCGGUAAUACUGAAGGGGGUUAGCGUUGUUCGGAAUUACUGGGCGUAGAGCGUACGUAGGCCGAUCAGAAAGUACGGGGUGAAAUCCCAGGGCUCAACCCUGGAACUGCCUCCUAAACUCCUGGUCAUGAGUUCGAGAGAGGUGAGUGGAACUCCGAGUGUAGAUGUGACAUUCGGAGAUGUUUGGAGGAACACCACUGGCCGAAGGCCGGUCAUUGGCUCGAUACUGACGCUAAAGUACGAAAAUUUUGGGCAGCAAACAGGACUAGAUUUCCUGGUAGUCCCCACCGUAAACGAUGAAUGGCCACUCCUCCGGCAAUAAAACUGUUCCGGGAAACCCCUAAAGGUAUCACCCAUCCCGCCGGGGGAAGUACGGUCCCAAGAUAAAAACUCAAAGGGAUUUGACGGGGGCCCUCCCAAG